rnacentral:rRNA from 1 species
AACGAACGCUGGCGGCAGGCCUAACACAUGCAAGUCGAGCGAACCCUUCGGGGUUAGCGGCGGACGGGUUAGUAACGCGUGGGAAUAUACCCUUUGGUACGGAAUAGCCUCGGGAAACUGAGAGUAAUACCGUAUGUGCCCUUCGGGGGAAAGAUUUAUCGCCAAAGGAUUAGCCCGCGUUGGAUUAGAUAGUUGGUGGGGUAAUGGCCUACCAAGUCUACGAUCCAUAGCUGGUUUGAGAGGAUGAUCAGCAACACUGGGACUGAGACACGGCCCAGACUCCUACGGGAGGCAGCAGUGGGGAAUCUUAGACAAUGGGCGCAAGCCUGAUCUAGCCAUGCCGCGUGGACGAUGAAGGCCUUAGGGGUUGUAAAGUCCUUUCAGAUGGGAAGAUAAUGACGGUACCAUCAGAAGAAGCCCCGGCUAACUCCGUG